rnacentral:rRNA from 1 species
UUAGAUACCCUAGUAUAGAGAAUUUAAGAGAUUACUAUGGUUUAAGAAAUUUAAAAAUUUUGGCGGUUAGUUAUUAAUUAGAGGGGCUUGUCUUUAGAAUUUACUCUUUAUAUUUUAUAAAUUUGUGUUUAUUUAUCUCCGUUUUUAGGUGAAAGUUGAAUAAGAAGUAUACUUGAAUUUUAGGUCAAGAUGUAGCUUGAAUUAAAAGUGAUUAGCUAUAUUUAUGUAAUAGUGGAUCUUAAGGAUCAUAUUAUAAUAAUAUAUGAGGGUAGAAAUAUUUAUUGAAUGUAAAUUUAAUUGUAAUUUUUUUUAUAAAAAUAAAAUGAAUGGGUAUAAUUAAUGUACAUAUUGCCCGUCACUUCUUUUGGUUAAUAGGAAUAAGUCGUAACAAAGUA